CUAACUUGAUUCUUAGUUAGAACCUAUCCAGGCAUGCGUCGUGAGUAAUCAAGGGGUGUGAAGCCCUGGAAACAAUGUAGCUUAGAGUAAGAAGAAAGCUUCUCUAAGAGCUAGGUUAAACCUCUAUGGAUAACGUAAGUGAACCCGCGUGAGAAG
rfam:Monoraphidium neglectum strain SAG 48.87 mitochondrion, whole genome shotgun sequence.